AAGCAGCUGGACCAAGACGAUUCGCUUCUACAAUCCACAGCAAAAGUGUAUUUCCAUCACGAUUGUUAUAUAGUUUUCGUGAAUAGAGCCUACCCUGCUUGUUCUUGAUUGCAGCAUGUGCAGAUGUGCAUUUCUUGGAAGUGUCACCUGGCUUUCUAGUUCUACCAAGCAUCGUUCAUCAAGGAAAGAUGCGCUUGUCUCCCUGGUACAGCGGUAGUCAUGGUAGACUAGAAGUUGUCCUGUACGUACUCUGACUGUUAAAGGCCAACCUUCUCGAAUCGUAGCAGAGCCAAAGGGGCUCUUUUCACUGUCUGAAGUCUGAUGAUUUAGGAUGAAAGCAGUUGUAGCAAUAAAGAUGACUUCAACUGGUACUACUACUAGGAUUGGAAUCGCCACUUUUUUGAAAGACUGGACUGGACUGCCAACCUGUAGGCCAAAGUCAUAGCAGAGGGAAUCCAUUUACCCCCGUUUCUUUGAGGAAGUUUCUUCAAGAUGGCCACUUCCCUAAAAACAGUUGAUUUCCUGCCAACUUGUUGCAACUGAGAAGCGACCGUGACGGGAAGGUCCUGGACAGUCCACUCCAGUGUUGCUGACAUAUACCAUCUAAAUGCACUUGAAGCAGAUACUCCCUGACCGCACUAGGAGCAGUGUCAACACCAUCCCUUCGUGGAGCAAGGAUGCUGUGAUGACCGUGUCCACUUGGCAUCUCUGGAAGAAUGCUGUGAUUGUCUUCGAACCCUCGUCAGGAGCAUCACAUCUGAUCUCGGCUUUCGAAGAUGAGCCAGGCAGGUGAGAUGG